rnacentral:rRNA from 1 species
GAUCAUGGCUCAGGAUGAACGCUAGCGGCAGGCUUAACACAUGCAAGUCGAGGGGCAGCAUGAAAGUAGCAAUACUUUUUGAUGGCGACCGGCGGACGGGUGCGUAACGCGUAUGCAACCUACCCUUUACAGGGGGAUAACACUGAGAAAUCGGUACUAAUACCCCAUAAUAUUCCGGGAGGCAUCUUUCGGAGUUGAAAGCUUUGGUGGUAAAGGAUGGGCAUGCGUUGUAUUAGCUAGUUGGUAAGGUAACGG